UACAGAGGGGGCAAGCGUUGUUCGGAAUUACUGGGCGUAAAGGGCGCGUAGGCGGCCGCCUAAGUCAGACGUGAAAUCCCUCGGCUUAACCGGGGAACUGCGUCUGAUACUGGAUGGCUUGAGUUUGGGAGAGGGAUGCGGAAUUCCAGGUGUAGCGGUGAAAUGCGUAGAUAUCUGGAGGAACACCGGUGGCGAAGGCGGCGUCCUGGACCAACACUGACGCUCAUGCACGAAAGCGUGGGGAGCAAACAGG
rnacentral:rRNA from 1 species